GGUUAAGUUAGAAAGGGCGCACGGUGGAUGCCUUGACACUAGGAGUCGAUGAAGGACGGGACUAACGCCGAUAUGCUUCGGGGAGCUGUAAGUAAGCUUUGAUCCGAAGAUUUCCGAAUGGGGAAACCCACUAUACGUAAUGGUAUGGUAUCCUUAUCUGAAUACAUAGGGUAAGGAAGACAGACCCAGGGAACUGAAACAUCUAAGUACCUGGAGGAAGAGAAAGCAAAUGCGAUUUCCUGAGUAGCGGCGAGCGAAACGGAACAUAGCCCAAACCAAGAGGCUUGCCUCUUGGGGUUGUAGGACAUUCUAUACGGAGUUACAAAGGAACGAGGUAGACGAAGCGACCUGGAAAGGUCCGUCGUAGAGGGUAACAACCCCGUAGUCGAAACUUCGUUCUCUCUUGAAUGUAUCCUGAGUACGGCGGAACACGUGAAACUCCGUCGGAAUCUGGGAGGACCAUCUCCCAAGGCUAAAUACUCCCUAGUGAUCGAUAGUGAACCAGUACCGUGAGGGAAAGGUGAAAAGCACCCCGGAAGGGGAGUGAAAGAGAUCCUGAAACCGUGUGCCUACAAAUAGUCAGAGCCCGUUAACGGGUGAUGGCGUGCCUUUUGUAGAAUGAACCGGCGAGUUACGAUCCCGUGCGAGGUUAAGCUGAAGAGGCGGAGCCGCAGCGAAAGCGAGUCUGAAUAGGGCGUUUAGUACGUGGUCGUAGACCCGAAACCAGGUGAUCUACCCAUGUCCAGGGUGAAGUUCAGGUAACACUGAAUGGAGGCCCGAACCCACGCACGUUGAAAAGUGCGGGGAUGAGGUGUGGGUAGCGGAGAAAUUCCAAUCGAACCUGGAGAUAGCUGGUUCUCCCCGAAAUAGCUUUAGGGCUAGCCUUAAGUGUAAGAGUCUUGGAGGUAGAGCACUGAUUGGACUAGGGGUCCUCAUCGGAUUACCGAAUUCAGUCAAACUCCGAAUGCCAAUGACUUAUCCUUAGGAGUCAGACUGCGAGUGAUAAGAUCCGUAGUCAAAAGGGAAACAGCCCAGACCGCCAGCUAAGGUCCCAAAGUGUGUAUUAAGUGGAAAAGGAUGUGGAGUUGCUUAGACAACUAGGAUGUUGGCUUAGAAGCAGCCACCAUUUAAAGAGUGCGUAAUAGCUCACUAGUCGAGUGACUCUGCGCCGAAAAUGUACCGGGGCUAAAUACACCACCGAAGCUGCGGAUUGAUACCGAAUGGUAUCAGUGGUAGGGGAGCGUUCUAAGGACAGUGAAGUCAGACCGGAAGGACUGGUGGAGUGCUUAGAAGUGAGAAUGCCGGUAUGAGUAGCGAAAGACGGGUGAGAAUCCCGUCCACCGAAUGCCUAAGGUUUCCUGAGGAAGGCUCGUCCGCUCAGGGUUAGUCAGGACCUAAGCCGAGGCCGACAGGCGUAGGCGAUGGACAACAGGUUGAUAUUCCUGUACCACCUCUUUAUCGUUUGAGCAAUGGAGGGACGCAGAAGGAUAGAAGAAGCGUGCGAUUGGUUGUGCACGUCCAAGCAGUUAGGCUGAUAAGUAGGCAAAUCCGCUUAUCGUGAAGGCUGAGCUGUGAUGGGUAAGCUCCUUAUGGAGCGAAGUCUUUGAUUCCCCGCUGCCAAGAAAAGCUUCUAGCGAGAUAAAAGGUGCCUGUACCGCAAACCGACACAGGUAGGCGAGGAGAGAAUCCUAAGGUGUGCGAGAGAACUCUGGUUAAGGAACUCGGCAAAAUGACCCCGUAACUUCGGGAGAAGGGGUGCUUUCUUAACGGAAAGCCGCAGUGAAUAGGCCCAAGCGACUGUUUAACAAAAACACAGCUCUCUGCGAAGCCGUAAGGCGAAGUAUAGGGGGUGACACCUGCCCGGUGCUGGAAGGUUAAGGAGAGGGGUUAGCGUAAGCGAAGCUCUGAACUGAAGCCCCAGUAAACGGCGGCCGUAACUAUAACGGUCCUAAGGUAGCGAAAUUCCUUGUCGGGUAAGUUCCGACCCGCACGAAAGGUGUAACGAUUUGGGCACUGUCUCAACCAGAGACUCGGUGAAAUUAUAGUACCUGUGAAGAUGCAGGUUACCCGCGACAGGACGGAAAGACCCCGUGGAGCUUUACUGUAGCCUGAUAUUGAAUUUUGGUACAGUUUGUACAGGAUAGGCGGGAGCCUUUGAAACCGGAGCGCUAGCUUCGGUGGAGGCGCUGGUGGGAUACCGCCCUGACUGUAUUGAAAUUCUAACCUACGGGUCUUAUCGACCCGGGAGACAGUGUCAGGUGGGCAGUUUGACUGGGGCGGUCGCCUCCUAAAGUGUAACGGAGGCGCCCAAAGGUUCCCUCAGAAUGGUUGGAAAUCAUUCGUAGAGUGCAAAGGCAUAAGGGAGCUUGACUGCGAGACCUACAAGUCGAGCAGGGACGAAAGUCGGGCUUAGUGAUCCGGUGGUUCCGCAUGGAAGGGCCAUCGCUCAACGGAUAAAAGCUACCCCGGGGAUAACAGGCUUAUCUCCCCCAAGAGUCCACAUCGACGGGGAGGUUUGGCACCUCGAUGUCGGCUCAUCGCAUCCUGGGGCUGUAGUCGGUCCCAAGGGUUGGGCUGUUCGCCCAUUAAAGCGGUACGCGAGCUGGGUUCAGAACGUCGUGAGACAGUUCGGUCCCUAUCCGUCGUGGGCGUAGGAAAUUUGAGAGGAGCUGUCCUUAGUACGAGAGGACCGGGAUGGACGCACCGCUGGUGUACCAGUUGUUCUGCCAAGGGCAUAGCUGGGUAGCUAUGUGCGGAAGGGAUAAGUGCUGAAAGCAUCUAAGCAUGAAGCCCCCCUCAAGAUGAGAUUUCCCAUAGCGUAAGCUAGUAAGAUCCCUGAAAGAUGAUCAGGUUGAUAGGUUCGAGGUGGAAGCAUGGUGACAUGUGGAGCUGACGAAUACUAAUAGAUCGAGGACUUAACCAU
rnacentral:rRNA from 1 species